CUCUUAUCAAGAGCGGCUGAGGGAAUAGGCCCUGUGAAGCCCGGCAACCUUCAAACAUCGGUUUGAAAAGGUGCUAACUCCUACAGAUCUUUUACGAUCUGAGAGAUAAGAG
rnacentral:ncRNA from 2 species